GACGGGGGCCCGCACAAGCGGUGGAGCAUGUGGUUUAAUUCGAAGCAACGCGAAGAACCUUACCAGGUCUUGACAUCCUCUGACAAUCCUAGAGAUAGGACGUCCCCUUCGGGGGCAGAGUGACAGGUGGUGCAUGGUUGUCGUCAGCUCGUGUCGUGAGAUGUUGGGUUAAGUCCCGCAACGAGCGCAACCCUUGAUCUUAGUUGCCAGCAUUCAGUUGGGCACUCUAAGGUGACUGCCGGUGACAAACCGGAGGAAGGUGGGGAUGACGUCAAAUCAUCAUGCCCCUUAUGACCUGGGCUACACACGUGCUACAAUGGACAGAACAAA
rnacentral:rRNA from 1 species